rnacentral:lncRNA from 1 species
UCUAACAAAAGUAAGGGCUAUCAAAUAUGACGUCUCAAUGUUUUCCCUUUGAUUCCAGAUUCAAGGUGUUGCUUUUGCUUUUUUCCUGAUGCUUUGCGCAACCAACAAUCUGUAUAGGAUGGCCCAGGGUCUCGACGAUUUCAGGAGAGAAACUGUCAUGGAAGGCCGACUGCUCGUCGUGAGGAGAGAUGCUGAAGCCCGAAUUACAUCAAAUUUGAGACAGCUAUCGCCUGCUUCUUACACAGACGAAGGGUCCAGUUCGGGCCAGAACGCUGCACAACAGCUGCCGCCGAACGCAUCAAAUAAGGCUGCUGGUUCUUCGAGAGUACCGAAUACAAACAGAAACGACGAUAUCGAUGAAUCGCCCCGGAGGCGAAGGAGACGCAGCAUCAACAUUCACCAGUCACUCUUGCGGAACAACAAAGAUAAUCAGAAAGCACAUGAGAGGCCAGAAAUAACUCCUGAGGAUACUGGCGUUACCGGAGAGCGAGACUCGGAUUCGCAACAGACAGACACUCCACCGAGCAUCUCCUCGAAGACGGCGAAUGAGACAGGUCCGGUACCGCUGAAAUUGGGGAACUCGUCAGAAGAUCCUCCGAAGAUUCUGGAGGCCAUCACCAGUAGUGGUGAUAUCGAAGCAGCUCCCGAUGAUCAUGUUGACCCGGACCCGGAGUGGGAGAUUCAGUACUCUGUCUGGGAAGAACAGCUGAUUCGGGACUUGGAAUACAUCACACCUGAUGCAGCCGACAUAUCGGCUAGUUCACCACACACUGCGUUAUGAUGAGCAGUAACUUUGAGUGAAGUGAUUGGUGUAAACAGCUCAGUAACUGUGGCGCUACAUAUGAUUAUGGCUGGUAAUGCAUACAAUGCCACAGUAAAUGUUUUGAUCUUACA